CCACCCCACUUCCCCAUCCCUUUCUCUUUCCUGAGUAAAAAAAAGGUUGCGACGAUUCGCGUCUAUCGACAACGAACAACACGGGUGACGGCGGCGUGGUGCUCGGCGAAUUGGGGCGGCCUGCCUGGUGGAGCGCUGUGCUGCUCGCCGGGUGGUCUCGACCUAGGGUGGUUGUUCAGCGAAUUGGGGCGGCCUGGUGUGCGGCGUCUGCCUAGGUCUAGUGCGGCGCUGUCCGCGAAGCUGUGGCAGGCAAUUGCGUCGGCAGUACUGUUGUUUGGAUUGAAAUUUGGUUUGGUGCACGAGGGGAGUUCUUGUAAGAGCUGGUACUCAGAAGACUGUUGCUUUUGUUAAAGCAGGGAUCGAGGCUUUUGUCAAAAAAGGAAUACUCCAUUUUUUCACGGUGGUGGGUGGUCGUCGAUCGCAGUAGGCUUACCAGUCGUGCAACAUCUCUUGUAGUCCUCGUGGCCAGGUUACAUUGACCGUUGGCUUGCUUGUUGAUGUGGUCUGCAUCUCCUCCCAGCAAGACGGUCGUCAAGCAGGCCUUAGCCGCUGGAGCUCUCAAGUAUAGCCCUCUCUCCAUAAAUUCGCAGGAGUAUGUGUCUAAUUAUCCUCCCAAUAUGGUUUGAUUUAGCAAAGAAGUAUAGUAAUUGAAUUUAAUAGAUCAUGUCCCAACAGGCAUAGGCUAACUAGGUAUUGCAGUUUCAAUUUUUAUCUCCUCCCCCAAUUUGUUAGUAUUAGUUAUAGCUGUCCUACAAGCUAAAUACUCAAGACCGUAAUAUCUUUUUGCCCAGUUGGUACAUAGAUCGUGUCAUUAUUAGUUUACUUUUUGCCCAGCAUGUCCAUGGUUGAUGGUAGAGUGUCCACCACUGUCACAUAGAAUGCACAUCUUGCCCAAAAAAUUUGCUUUCUCAAAAGAUGAAGCUCUUCAAUUAUGAAACUGAAAAGACUUAGUGACUUAAUUUUCUGCCGAAAAGUCUCAAUCUUUAUUGAUGUAAUGCCCCGAGACCGACGCUCCAGAUGCCUUUCCUGUUUUGCGUGUCAGCUCUGUUAUUUAUUUGUUUGUUGCAUUUCAUCAUAGCAUCAUGCACAUUGCAUCUGCAUGUUUUCAUAAAGUUUGCAUCCGUUCGUAGUUGCCGCGUCCCUCCUCGCCUCCGUUGACCUUUCUCAGUCUAGCCGUUCUUUUGUGGUCCGGCCGUUUGGCCCUUUCUGCACAGUGCACUGACCCCCUCGUGCGUGUCCGAAACUUCCCCGAACCCGACCCGGAUUGUGUUACCGGUGGGUCCGGAUCGUCUCCUAACAUCUAUAAAACAUCUCCGUUUUCUUAUUUAGACUCCCUACCUAUUUAUUCUCGACCGCCCGAUUACGAUCGGACGGACCGAGUUAACCCCUACCCUAAUUCCCUACCUAUAUACACCGCCUAACCCUAAAUUCUAGGGACUUGUCCCAUCCUCCGCCGCCGCCAGCCGACAGCCUCCCUCCAACCUCGGGAUCUCCUCCCGAUCCAACUGCUCCUCUCUUUCCGCGCCUAGCCAUCCCCUCGAUCCAUCCAUCCAGUCGAUCCAGCCACCUCCUCGAUUUGCAAACCCAGCCAACCAGAGCCAGCACCCCACUCGAUCCACCUCGCCGGUGCCUCCU